GGGAGUCGGGCUGUAGUGCAGCGGGUUAAGCGCAGGUGGCACAAAGCACAAGGACCGGCAUAAGGAUCCCGGUUCGAACCCCAGCUCCCCACCUCCAGGGGAGUUGCUUCACAGGCGGUGAAGCAGGUCUGCAGGUGUCUAUCUUUCUCUCCUCCUCUCUGUCUUCCCCUCCUCUCUCCAUUUCUCUCUGUCCUAUCCAACAACGACAACAACAACAAUAAUAACUACAACAAUAAAACAACAAGGGCAACAAAAGGGAAUAAAUAAAUAAAAUAAAAUAUUUAAAAAAAUAAUAAUAAAAAAAAUUGGAGACAUGAAACUUCAUGAAUACUUAAGCAUGCAGGCAGCAUGGACUAGGUGUCCUGGAGACCACAGGUAGAGCAUACUGGAGUUUUCAUCUCACUGAAAAUUCAGAGUCAAAAUCAAAACCAGCUGAGGUUGUUACUCGGGUGCCUUCCUUCAGCUUACUCAAAAGAAUAGAGGAUGGACGACAUUUGAAGAAAAAAAAUGAUCUACUAUCACCAUUAUUUCAUAAACCAGGAGAAAAAUAAAAAGGAGUUAUAAAUCAACUUCAGCAUACACAAAAUCCAAAAGGUGUAAUGUUAAUGCAGAAAGACUGGUU